rfam:Clostridium formicaceticum strain ATCC 27076, complete genome.
GCGGAAGUGGCUCAGUGGUAGAGCAUCGCCUUGCCAAGGCGAGGGUCGCGGGUUCGAGUCCCGUCUUCCGCU